ACCAAUUGAACGAAAUGUGCCAC
rnacentral:piRNA from 1 species